rnacentral:rRNA from 1 species
UACGUAGGGUGCGAGCGUUAAUCGGAAUUACUGGGCGUAAAGCGUGCGCAGGCGGUUCGUCGUGUGUGAUGUGAAAGCCCCGGGCUCAACCUGGGAAUGGCAUUGGAAACUGGCGGACUAGAGUGUGGCAGAGGGGGGUGGAAUUCCGCGUGUAGCAGUGAAAUGCGUAGAGAUGCGGAGGAACACCGAUGGCGAAGGCAGCCCCCUGGGCUAACACUGACGCUCAGGCACGAAAGCGUGGGGAGCAAACAGG